UGCCCUUAGAUGUUCUGGGCCGCACGCGCGCUACACUGACGAUGGCAACGAGUUUUUCCUUCGCCGAAAGGUGUGGGUAAUCUUUUGAAACAUCGUCGUGCUGGGGAUAGAUCAUUGCAAUUUUUGAUCUUGAACGAGGAAUUCCUAGUAAGCGCGAGUCAUCAGCUCGCGUUGAUUACGUCCCUGCCCUUUGUACACACCGCCCGUCGCUACUACCGAUUGAAUGGUUUAGUGAGGACUCCUGAUUGGCGCCGCCGCCCCGGCAACGGAGCAGCGGACUGCCGAAAAGUUGUUCAAACUUGAUCAUUUAGAGGAAGUAAAAGUCGUAACA
rnacentral:rRNA from 1 species